rnacentral:rRNA from 1 species
AUUGAACGCUGGCGGCAGGCUUAACACAUGCAAGUCGAGCGAGCGGCGGACGGGUGAGUAAUGUCUGGGAAACUGCCUGAUGGAGGGGGAUAACUACUGGAAACGGUAGCUAAUACCGCAUACCAUCAGAUGUGCCCAGAUGGGAUUAGCUAGUAGGUGGGGUAAUGGCUCACCUAGGCGACGAUCCCUAGCUGGUCUGAGAGGAUGACCAGCCACCCUGGAACUGAGACACGGCCCAGACUCCUACGGGAGGCAGCAGUGGGGAAUAUUGCGCAAUGGGGGCAACCCUGACGCAGCCAUGCCGCGUGAAUGAAGAAGGCCUUCGGGUUGUAAAGUACUUUCAGCGAGGAGGCGUUACUCGCAGAAGAAGCACCGGCUAACUCCGUGCCAGCCGCCGCGGUAAUAC